AACGCACCUUGCACCCUUUGGCAUUCCGAAGGGUAUGCUCGUUUGAGUGUCAUUGUACUCUCACACUCUCAAUGCUUUUGGAUUGGGAGCGGUGGACUUGGGUGUUGCUGCUUUGCUGUGGCUCGCCUCAAAUGGAGUAGUGCAACUCUUGGUUGGACAUAGUACGGCGUGAUAAGUGUCUUCGCCGGCGCCUCACUAGAGGGUGGCCGAUCAGGAGCUCUGUGCUUCAAACCGUCUUCGGACAAUCUCUGACAACUUGACCUCAAAUCGAGUAGGACUACCCGCUGAACUUAA
rnacentral:misc_RNA from 2 species